rnacentral:rRNA from 1 species
UACGUAGGGUGCGAGCGUUUAAUCGGAAUUACUGGGCGUAAAGCGUGCGCAGGCGGUUCGCCAAGUCAGGUGUGAAAUCCCCGGGCUUAACCUGGGAAUUGCGCUUGAAACUAGCGGGCUUGAGUGUGGCAGAGGAGGGUGGAAUUCCUGGUGUAGAGGUGAAAUUCGUAGAUAUCAGGAGGAACACCAGUGGCGAAGGCGGCUUUCUGGACGGUAACUGACGCUGAGACGCGAAAGCGUGGGGAGCAAACAGG